CUCACUUUGUAUGAAAGCCGUACUUCCAUUUGUUUGUGUAUUUCCCCCAAUUAUUUAAAUGCAUUUCUAGUGUCAUUUUCCAAGGUCUGCUCAGUCCCAUUCUCAUGCUCUGGUCAGUCUGACAGAACACUGCAGUCUUGGCUUCAUUUGCUUCUGGACCUGUUCCAGUUCUGUUGUUCAAAACAGUGUCCUUUCUAAGUCCCCAUCAGCACUUCUGCUAGACAGUCAGCAAGACUGUUUAAAGAUGUAGUCAGUGGAGCUCCGAUCAUCUGAAAAAGAUUAUGGAAGGACUGAAGAAAUACAAAGAAAAGAGCAAGUGUGAUUCAAGAUGAAAUCACCUGUAUAAUAAAGGAUGUAAUAGCAAUGAGUUGUAAACCUCUUAUUGCUGGACACACAGCAUGCUGGAGAAGCAUCAUUCUCUGCGUGCCUCUUGCUGUAUGGUUAAUCAUCGCUACUGCCAACUGAGGCUGAGAAUUGAGACAGGUGGAUAUCAGGUCCAUCCUGUACAACAGAUACAACCUUCUGGCACUCAGCUUAACCUUCAGGGUUCUGUUUUCCAUCUUUAGGUGGUGAAAUCCUUAGGCUCUGUCCAGAUGGGGCUUCUGUGCACCAUCACCUGCACUGUCCUGCAGCUGUCCCAGUAGGUCUGACUUUGGGGCAGUAUUAACAUUUCCAGUAAAUGCUGUUCAUCUUCAUAAGCUAACCACCAUGGAAGCCUUCCCUCUCACUCCCCCAACUCAGUUAAUUAAGCCAGGUGAAGAGUACCUCAGAGAACAGACGGUUUUAAACAUGCUGCUUAUACAUUUGCUAGUUUAUCAGGUGGUGACUGAUCCUCCAAGUGGGGACUUAAAAAAAAAAAAUCUACAAUACUUGGAGGUCUUUCUACAGGGCUGCUCUAUUUGGGCACACCAUAUCAGUUCUGGAAUAGUGCUUGCCUCUUCCUAAACAACACUAUCAAAAUACAGAAUUUCAAGUUCUUCAUCUGAAGCCUUCUGAGACAGCUAAAUGUAUCCGUGUGCUGCUUCCCCAACAGAGUGGGUGAGCAGAACUCCAACUGACGUGUUAUUUGUAUUCUUUUAACACUAGAAUUUCAUGUUACUAACUCUCAAAAUUGUCCUCUGCCAGGAAAUAUGUGGCACUUACAAAAUUAGUACAAUGUUUGACUAUGACAUGAUUCCAUAGCAUCUGUUACAUCUCAAUAUGUCACUGAAUAUUUCACAAUUAUUUAACAUCUAUCACAGCUCUCUACUCCAAGAAAGACUAAGUAUUUCAAAGUUCUCUCUUCUGUAGCAUAAAUGUUCUGCAGCUACUGAGGUUUUCUCAGUGCACUUACCUUAGGUCUUCUAAGGAGGCAGCUCAUCCCAAGAGGUACUGCUCCAGGUGUCUUACUUUUCAAAGCUAGUUUGUAAGGCAGAUUUAUCUAUGCUCUUUAAAGUGUUCUUGUAUUUAGUAAAACCAAUAGUUUUUUUUUUAAAAAAAGCAAUCACCUGACAUUAAAUCAUCCUAACUUGGAAUGUCUCUAACAGAAUUAGGUAACUAAACACAAACUUGACUGGACGUUUUGCAGUGCACAUAGGAGUACUCCUCCUUACUGUCAGUGAGAUUUCAUCUGACUGAAGCUGAGAUUCUCACCGAAGCACAGACAGCAAAGAAUUUUAAAGACCAAACCCUUUCUGGCUAACCCUACAUAGCAAAUACCUCAGUGACAAAGCAGCUGUUCAGUAUUUUGAUGGCAUUGGUGUUGAAGCUCUAACAAAAAGAAAUUUGUGGGGUUUUCUAUGAACUGGAAUCAAUCUGACUCACUAGAUGAGGUAUUCUCAGCAUAUACUGCAUUCAAAGUUGUUGAAUAGAAACUGCCUCAGAACCGUUCUUCCUGUCCAGAGAUGCACGUGCCCCGGGGAAUCCCAUGCCACCCUUCUGUCUGUCCCAGUCAGAUGACAGCAGCAUGUCACUGCCCUGCCUCCUUAACUGCUCACAUUGAAAAGAAGUUUUAUUUCUGAUUCUGCACAUUUCUAUCCGACUCCACGAUGCUGGUUGCUCAACAGAUCCCAAACUGAGUAUGAACUACAUCCAAAAGUUCAUGGCUUGGACAGAAGAAGGACUGGAGCCACUGAAAACAGCUCUAAGAGGACACUGUGAUGGCAGCAGCAUUGGCUUUUAUUUCAAAUUAAAAAAAAAAAUAAAUAAAAAAUCAGACAUGGAGAAUGGGAUGCCUUGUUGCUGUGAUUGUUUUUGCUGAUAGCCAGCCGGAGCCUCUGGGCCCAGGAGAUGAGCUCAGACAGUCCCCUCUGCAACAGCAUAUGUGGAGAAGAGCACUCAUAGCCCUUGAAGUGUGAGUUUUUUCCUUUCCUCCAGUACAACUGCAAGAUGUUUUGGCAUCUCUUCGCCAUGUUGAAAAGGGACUAUCUACCCAUAGAGCCUCACAACCCCUGUCUGCUAGACCUCACCUCCUACUCCUACAACACCAUAAAGGCUCAGCAAACUGGACCAAUACACAGGAAGUGGAGAAGACCAAGGGAGUCACUUCAGAACUACUCUAUGCUUUGAGCAAGACUGUUAAUACAUGUUCAACCUAUAUGGGCUCUUUCAAAAUUCAUCACUAAUUUUAAAUUCCUUGCAAGAAAGAAACUCAGAUACAGUGUCUUUAAAGGACUAUGAUUAAAAUAACUUGUUUCCUCACAUUUAUUGCCAGAAAACAGUGCACUGUAUUUUCUCAUAUUGUUACUGGCAAUCAGCACACAAAAAGUUAUAAAAACAAGUCUCUUUUUUUUCCCGUUAGGGUAGCUUUCCAUUCAAAGAACAGUGUUAAGUACUCAAAGCAGGAACACAGCUAUAAU
ensembl:lncRNA